UAGCUUAGGCGAUAUAGGGUCUCCUUGA
rnacentral:piRNA from 1 species